rnacentral:rRNA from 1 species
GACGAACGCUGGCGGCGUGCCUAAUACAUGCAAGUUGAGCGCUGAAGGUUGGUACUUGUACCGACUGGAUGAGCAGCGCACGGGUGAGUAACGCGUGGGGAAUCUGCCUUUGAGCGGGGGACAACAUUUGGAAACGAAUGCUAAUACCGCAUAAAAACUUUAAACACAAGUUUUAAGUUUGAAAGAUGCAAUUGCAUCACUCAAAGAUGAUCCCGCGUUGUAUUAGCUAGUUGGUGAGGUAAAGGCUCACCAAGGCGAUGAUACAUAGCCGACCUGAGAGGGUGAUCGGCCACAUUGGGACUGAGACACGGCCCAAACUCCUACGGGAGGCAGCAGUAGGGAAUCUUCGGCAAUGGACGAAAGUCUGACCGAGCAACACCGCGUGAGUGAAGAAGGUGUUCGGAUCGUAAAACUCUGUUGGUAGAGAAGAACGUUGGUGAGAGUGGAAAGCGCAUCAAGUGACGGUAACGACCCAGAAAGGGACGGCUAACUACGU